rnacentral:rRNA from 1 species
UACGUAGGGGGCAAGCGUUGUCCGGAUUUAUUGGGCGUAAAGCGCACGUAGGCGGAUUGUUAAGUCAGGGGUGAAAUCCUGGAGCUCAACUCCAGAACUGCCUUUGAUACUGGCGAUCUUGAGUCCGGGAGAGGUGAGUGGAACUGCGAGUGUAGAGGUGAAAUUCGUAGAUAUUCGCAAGAACACCAGUGGCGAAGGCGGCUCACUGGCCCGAUACUGACGCUGAGGCACGAAAGCGUGGGGAGCAAACAGG